UGGGGAAUAUUGCACAAUGGGCGAAAGCCUGAUGCAGCGACGCCGCGUGCGGGAUGAAGGCCUUCGGGUUGUAAACCGCUUUUAAUUGGGAGCAAGCGAGAGUGAGUGUACCUUUUGAAUAAGCACCGGCUAACUACGUGCCAGCAGCCGCGGUAAUACGUAGGGUGCAAGCGUUAUCCGGAAUUAUUGGGCGUAAAGAGCUCGUAGGCGGUUUGUCACGCCUGGUGUGAAAGUCCAUCGCUUAACGGUGGAUCUGCGCCGGGUACGGGCAGGCUAGAGUGCAGUAGGGGAGAUUGGAAUUCCCGGUGUAACGGUGGAAUGUGUAGAUAUCGGGAAGAACACCAAUGGCGAAGGCAGAUCUCUGGGCUGUUACUGACGCUGAGGAGCGAAAGCAUGGGGAGCGAACAGGAUUAGAUACCCUGGUAGUCCGUGCCGUAAACGGUGGAUGCUGGAUGUGGGACCCUUCCACGGGUUCCGUGUCGGAGCUAACGCGUUAAGCAUCCCGCCUGGGGAGUACGGCCGCAAGGCUAAAACUCUAAAGUGAAUUGAC
rnacentral:rRNA from 1 species